UACGAAGGGUGCAAGCGUUACUCGGAAUUACUGGGCGUAAAGCGUGCGUAGGUGGUUUGUUAAGUCUGCUGUGAAAUCCCCGGGCUCAACCUGGGAAUGGCAGUGGAUACUGGCAAGCUAGAGUGCGGUAGAGGGUAGUGGAAUUCCCGGUGUAGCAGUGAAAUGCGUAGAGAUCGGGAGGAACACCAGUGGCGAAGGCGGCUACCUGGACCAGCACUGACACUGAAGCACGAAAGCGUGGGGAGCAAACAGG
rnacentral:rRNA from 1 species